AUCCGGGUGACCAGUCCCAAAUAGGACGAAACGCGCGUUCUGGAU
rnacentral:hammerhead_ribozyme from 1 species